UGAGGAAUAUUGGUCAAUGGGCGAGAGCCUGAACCAGCCAUGUCGCGUGCAGGAUGACUGCCCUAUGGGUUGUAAACUGCUUUUGUAUGGGAAGAAAAAGUUCUACGUGUAGAACCUUGCCGGUACCAUACGAAUAAGGAUCGGCUAACUCCGUGCCAGCAGCCGCGGUAAUACGGAGGAUCCAAGCGUUAUCCGGAUUUAUUGGGUUUAAAGGGUGCGUAGGCGGGACUUUAAGUCAGUGGUGAAAGUUUGCCGCUUAACGGUAAAAUUGCCAUUGAUACUGAAGUUCUUGAGUACAGAUGAAGUAGGCGGAAUGAGGAGUGUAGCGGUGAAAUGCGUAGAUAUUCCUCAGAACACCGAUUGCGAAGGCAGCUUACUAAGGUGUCACUGACGCUGAUGCACGAAAGCGUGGGGAUCAAACA
rnacentral:rRNA from 1 species